rnacentral:pre_miRNA from 1 species
GGGUGAGGCCGGCUUGGCCACCGGCGAGGCUCGGCCUCGCCAGAUCUAGUGAGGUUGAGCCUCGCCAGUGGCUGGGCUUGCCUCCGGC